GCAUUGGUGGCUCAGUGGUAGAAUUCUUACCUCCUGUGCAGGAGACCCAGGUUCAAUCCCCAGCCAAUGCA
rnacentral:tRNA from 1 species